rnacentral:rRNA from 1 species
GCUGGCAGCUAGCUUACUGCAACUCGCCUAUGGUUGCCCACUGAAGCUAAGCAGGGCUGUGCCUAGUGAGAACCUGGAAGGGAGACCACAUGGGAAAGCUAGAUGGCUGCUAGAA